AUUAUACCGCGAAACUGCGAAUGGCUCAUUAAAUCAGUUAUCGUUUAUUUGAUAGUACCUUACUACUUGGAUAACCGUGGUAAUUCUAGAGCUAAUACAUGCUAAAAAUCCCGACUCACGAAGGGAUGUAUUUAUUAGAUUAAAAACCAAUGCCCUUCGGGGCUCCUUGGUGAUUCAUAAUAACUUCUCGAAUCGCAUGGCCUUGCGCCGGCGAUGGUUCAUUCAAAUUUCUGCCCUAUCAACUUUCGAUGGCAGGGUCUUGGCCUGCCAUGGUUACAACGGGUAACGGAGGGUUAGGGCUCGACCCCGGAGAAGGAGCCUGAGAAACGGCUACUACAUCCAAGGAAGGCAGCAGGCGCGCAAAUUACCCAAUCCCGACACGGGGAGGUAGUGACAAUAAAUACUGAUACAGGGCUCUUUUGGGUCUUGUAAUUGGAAUGAGUACAAUUUAAAUCCCUUAACGAGGAACAAUUGGAGGGCAAGUCUGGUGCCAGCAGCCGCGGUAAUUCCAGCUCCAAUAGCGUAUAUUAAAGUUGUUGCAGUUAAAAAGCUCGUAGUUGAACCUUGGGCCUUGGCUGGCCGGUCCGCCUCACCGCGUGCACUGGUUCGGCCGGGCCUUUCCCUCUGGGGAGCCGCAUGCCCUUCACUGGGUGUGUCGGGGAACCAGGACUUUUACUGUGAAAAAAUUAGAGUGUUCAAAGCAGGCCUAUGCUCGAAUACAUUAGCAUGGAAUAAUAGAAUAGGACGUGUGGUUCUAUUUUGUUGGUUUCUAGGACCGCCGUAAUGAUUAAUAGGGACAGUCGGGGGCAUCAGUAUUCAAUUGUCAGAGGUGAAAUUCUUGGAUUUAUUGAAGACUAACUACUGCGAAAGCAUUUGCCAAGGAUGUUUUCAUUAAUCAGGAACGAAAGUUAGGGGAUCGAAGACGAUCAGAUACCGUCGUAGUCUUAACCAUAAACUAUGCCGACUAGGGAUCGGACGAUGUUAUUUUUUGACUCGUUCGGCACCUUACGAGAAAUCAAAGUCUUUGG
rnacentral:rRNA from 1 species